rnacentral:rRNA from 1 species
UACGUAGGGUGCGAGCGUUGUCCGGAAUUAUUGGGCGUAAAGGGCUCGUAGGCGGUUUGUCGCGUCGGGAGUGAAAUCCACUGGCUUAACUGGUGGCUUGCUUUCGAUACGGGCAGACUGGAGGUAUGCAGGGGAGAACGGAAUUCCUGGUGUAGCGGUGAAAUGCGCAGAUAUCAGGAGGAACACCGGUGGCGAAGGCGGAUCUCUGGGCCUGUCCUGACGCUCGAGGCGCGAAAGCUAGGGGAGCAAACAGG